ACGGGUGAGGAACACGUAGGAAUCUGCCUUUAAGAGGGGGACAACCGGAGGAAACUCCGGCUAAUACCGCAUAAUACUCUGAGGAGGAAAUGCUGGGGCAACCUGGCGCUUAAAGAGGAGCCUGCGUCCGAUUAGCUAGUUGGUAGGGUAAAGGCCUACCAAGGCGAUGAUCGGUAGCUGGUCUGAGAGGAUGAUCAGCCACACUGGGACUGAGACACGGCCCAGACUCCUACGGGAGGCAGCAGUGGGGAAUAUUGGACAAUGGGGGCAACCCUGAUCCAGCAAUACCGCGUGUGUGAAGAAGGCCUUCGGGUUGUAAAGCACUUUAGGUUGGGAAGAAGUUGCAUAGUUUAAGAGAUAAUGCGAUUGACGGUACCAACAGAAUAAGCACCGGCUAACUCUGUGCCAGCAGCCGCGGUAAUACAGAGGGUGCAAGCGUUAAUCGGAGUUACUGGGCGUAAAGGGCGCGUAGGCGGUUGUAUAAGUGAGAUGUGAAAGCCCUGGGCUUAACCUAGGAACUGCAUCUUAUACUGUAUGACUAGAGUAUUGUAGAGGGUAGUGGAAUUUCCGGUGUAGCGG
rnacentral:rRNA from 1 species